GAAAUAUACACGGCAUAAUAUUCUACCCGUUGAGUUCGUAAGACCAACAACUUGUCAAAAUUAGAGACCCGACAAUUCUACAACUUUUGCGAAACAAGAUGCUAAGAAGAAGAUCGAUAUUUUUGUCCCUGACUAUAGCUGGGGUCACUAGGCACAAAACAGGCGUCAAAGGACAUUACCACUACACUUCUAAUAGAUUCAUUUUCUGAAUUCUUUGGUUCCAGUUCUACUCUUUGCCAGCAUAAUUCCAAACAUUAGUGGAAAUCCUCUUGAAGACAGUAUGCAAGAAAGAGGAGAUCAAGUUUAUCAUAAUCAGGAUGGAAACAAUUUAUUACAAUUUAUUUCUAAUUUUUCCUUACAGUUUUACUACUUGCCAGCAGUAUACUAAGAAUUAGUGGAAAGCCUUUUGAAGGAGAUGCGAGUGCAGAACAAUUGUUCUCAAAGACAAAUGAUGGAAAGUUUUCUGCAGAAGGAAAUAAUGACACAGUUAAGCAUGUGAUAAAUAACUAUAGAGGAAAUGGAGAUUCUACGCAAGCGGAGAAUAGUAUGCACCGGAAAAAUAUUGAAAUUAUGACAAAACAGUUUUUUGAUGAGCCAUUUUCAAGAUCAGUUGAAAGCUUUUCAGCAUCUUCCGUGGAAAGUGUUUCUAGUGUAUCUAGUGUAUCUAGUUGGACUUACAGCAGUUCUGGUGAUUUAAGUUAUAUAUACGAUAUUUGGAGUAUAAGUAAAAGUGACUCAAAAUAUUAAGCAAUGAUGGAGAAAAGCUGAAUGUAUUAUUCAAAGAUGUGUAGAUGUGUAUUUAUUAUUAUAUCUUUUAUUAUCUAAUAAUGCUUUGAUUCAAUCCUCAAUUUUGUUGAAUUGCGAUAAUACUUUAUUUAAAGAGAAGUUAUUCAGAAAGCGCUUAUUAUGUUACUAAGCAAAUUACAUACAUAUAUUUAAUAAGCUUAACUACUUCGUUUGAUGAUUGAACAUAAUUAAGCCUCCUCAACUGGUCAAACCUUAUGUUGAAAAAAAAGAAAAGACAUUAACUUCAGUUGCGCCGAAGCUACAAUACCUUUCACAUAUGAUUUUUUAUAAUAAAAAAGUGAAAAUUAAUCUUA